AUGGCGGAGGAACCGUCCACCAAGCGUCAUCAAGACGAGCCGUCAGACAAGAGCAGCAACCUCAUCGACGUUCAUGUCCCCGGCGAGAAGCGCGAGUACACCAAAACCCUCAGAGAGGUUGAGCUCCAUGGCAAGGAGACGCUGGAGAUCGUCUGCACCAGCGAACCAGACAAGGCCGAUGAGGUGAUCUCCAGGCUCUGGAGGAAGGCUGGCGGCAUAGUUCAUAGGAUCGUCGGUGUUGGUGUGCACUACACCAACGAAGAUGAACCUCCCCAGAUGGCAGCAGUCAUGCAGUUGUGCGUCGACGACCUCUGCUUGGUGUACCACAUCGCAGUGGCCAUAAAAUGGCCCAAGCGCCUGAACGAGUUGCGCAGCAUAAGAAGUUGUUCACAUUUGCCGGUUUCAGCAUUGAAAGCGACAAAGAGAAGCUGA
rnacentral:rRNA from 1 species